CAGCCGCGCGGGAAUACGAAGGGUGCAAGCGUUACUCGGAAUUACUGGGCGUAAAGCGUGCGUAGGUGGUGGUUUAAGUCCGUUGUGAAAGCCCUGGGCUCAACCUGGGAAUUGCAGUGGAUACUGGGUCACUAGAGUGUGGUAGAGGAUAGUGGAAUUUCCGGUGUAGCAGUGAAAUGCGUAGAGAUCGGAAGGAACAUCUGUGGCGAAGGCGACUAUCUGGGCCAACACUGACACUGAGGCACGAAAGCGUGGGGAGCAAACAGGAUUAGAUACCCCCGUAGUCCCUGUCUCUUAUACA
rnacentral:rRNA from 1 species